rnacentral:rRNA from 2 species
AGGUUAAGUUAACAAGGGCGCAUGGUGAAUGCCUUGGCACUAGGAGCCGAUGAAGGACGGGACUAACACCGAUAUGCUUCGGGGAGCUGUACGUAAGCUAUGAUCCGGAGAUUUCCGAAUGGGGCAACCCAGCAGUUUUAAUCAACUGUUACCACUAGAUGAAUUCAUAGUCUAGUUGGAGGUAAACGCUGUGAACUGAAACAUCUCAUUAGCAGCAGGAAUAUAAAGAAAUUUCGAUUCCCUAAGUAGCGGCGAGCGAACGGGGAACAGCCCAAACCAAAGUGCUUGCACUUUGGGGUUGUAGGACUGAACAUUUGAGUUACCAAAGAACUUGAUAGUCGAAGGAUUUGGGAAAAUCCGCCAUAGAUGGUGAUAGCCCAGUAGAUUAAAUCAAAUUCUCUCAGUUCAGGAUCCUGAGUACGGCGGAACACGUGAAAUUCCGUCGGAAUCCGGGAGGACCAUCUCCCAAGGCUAAAUACUACCUAGUGACCGAUAGUGAACCAGUACCGUGAGGGAAAGGUGAAAAGCACCCCGGGAGGGGAGUGAAAUAGUUCCUGAAACCAUGUGCCUACAAUAAGUCAGAGCGCGUUAAUGCGUGAUGGCGUGCCUUUUGUAGAAUGAACCGGCGAGUUAUGAUCCCGUGCAAGGUUAAGACUAAAAAGUCGGAGCCGUAGCGAAAGCGAGUCUGAAAUGGGCGUUUUGAGUACGAGGUUAUAGACCCGAAACCAGGUGACCUAUCCAUGUCCAGGUUGAAGGUGCGGUAAAACGCACUGGAGGACCGAACCCGUGUAAGUUGAAAAUUGCUGGGAUGAGGUGUGGAUAGCGGUGAAAUUCCAAACGAACUUGGAGAUAGCUGGUUCUCUCCGAAAUAGCUUUAGGGCUAGCCUCGGAAUUAGGAUCAUGGAGGUAGAGCACUAUUUGGACUAGGGGCCCGUCUUGGGUUACUGAAUUCAGAUAAACUCCGAAUGCCAUUGAUUCAUAUCCGGGAGUCAGACGAUGAGUGAUAAGAUCCACCGUCGAAAGGGGAACAGCCCAGACCAUCAGUUAAGGUCCCUAAAUGUAUGCUAAGUGGAAAAGGAUGUGGAGUUGCAUAGACAACUAGGAUGUUGGCUCAGAAGCAGCCACCAUUUAAAGAGUGCGUAAUAGCUCACUAGUCGAGUGAUCCUGCGCCGAAAAUGUACCGGGGCUAAGCAUACUACCGAAACCAUGGAUGCGACCAUUAGGUCGCGUGAUAGGAGAGCGUUCUAAGGGCGGUGAAGCAAGAUCGUGAGGACUUGUGGAGCGCUUAGAAGUGAGAAUGCCGGUAUGAGUAGCGAAAGAUAGGUGAGAAUCCUAUCCACCGAAUGACUAAGGUUUCCUGGGGAAGGCUCGUCCUCCCAGGGUUAGUCGGGACCUAAGUCGAGGCCGAGAGGCGUAGACGAUGGAUAACAGGUUGAGAUUCCUGUACUAGUUAAGUGCGUUUGAGCAAUGGAGGGACGCAGGAGGCUAAGAUGUGCAUUCUGUUGGAUUAGAAUGUCCAAGCAGUAAGUCUUGUGGAGAGUCAAAUGCUUUUCACUUUAAGGACAAGCUGUGAUGGGGAGCGAAAUUUAGUAGCGAAGCGUCUGAUGUCACACUGCCGAGAAAAGCUUCUAGUGAGUACUUAACUACCCGUACCGCAAACCGACACAGGUAGUCGAGGAGAGAAUCCUAAGGUGAGCGAGUGAACUCUCGUUAAGGAACUCGGCAAAAUGACCCCGUAACUUCGGGAGAAGGGGUGCUGAUCGCAAGAUCAGCCGCAGUGAAUAGGCCCAGGCGACUGUUUAUCAAAAACACAGGUCUCUGCAAAAUCGUAAGAUGACGUAUAGGGGCUGACGCCUGCCCGGUGCUGGAAGGUUAAAAGGAUGGGUUAGCUUCGGCGAAGCUCAGAAUUGAAGCCCCAGUAAACGGCGGCCGUAACUAUAACGGUCCUAAGGUAGCGAAAUUCCUUGUCGGGUAAGUUCCGACCCGCACGAAAGGCGUAACGAUCUGGGCACUGUCUCAACGAGAGACUCGGUGAAAUUAUAUUGUCCGUGAAGAUGCGGACUACCCGCGACAGGACGGAAAGACCCCAUGGAGCUUUACUGUAGCUUGAUAUUGAGUGUUUGUACAGCUUGUACAGGAUAGGUAGGAGCCAUAGAAACCGGAACGCUAGUUUCGGUGGAGGCGUUGGUGGGAUACUACCCUCGCUGUAUGACCACUCUAACCCGCACCACUAAUCGUGGUGGGAGACAGUGUCAGGUGGGCAGUUUGACUGGGGCGGUCGCCUCCUAAAAAGUAACGGAGGCGCCCAAAGGUUCCCUCAGAAUGGUUGGAAAUCAUUCGCAGAGUGUAAAGGCACAAGGGAGCUUGACUGCGAGACAGACAGGUCGAGCAGGGACGAAAGUCGGGCUUAGUGAUCCGGUGGUACCGUAUGGAAGGGCCAUCGCUCAACGGAUAAAAGCUACCCUGGGGAUAACAGGCUUAUCUCCCCCAAGAGUCCACAUCGACGGGGAGGUUUGGCACCUCGAUGUCGGCUCAUCGCAUCCUGGGGCUGUAGUCGGUCCCAAGGGUUGGGCUGUUCGCCCAUUAAAGCGGUACGCGAGCUGGGUUCAGAACGUCGUGAGACAGUUCGGUCCCUAUCCGUCGCGGGCGUAGGAAAUUUGAGAGGACCUGUCCUUAGUACGAGAGGACCGGGAUGGACAUACCUCUGGUGUACCAGUUGUGCCGCCAGGCGCAUCGCUGGGUAGCUACGUAUGGAUGUGAUAAACGCUGAAAGCAUCUAAGUGUGAAACACACCUCGAGAUGAGAUUUCCCAUUCCUUUAUGGAAGUAAGACCCCUGAAAGAUGAUCAGGUAGAUAGGUUAGAAGUGGCAGUGCGGUGACGCAUGAAGCGGACUAAUACUAAUCGGUCGAGGACUUAACCAAG